rnacentral:rRNA from 1 species
GACGAACGCUGGCGGCGUGCUUAACACAUGCAAGUCGAACGGAAAGGCCCUGCUUUUGUGGGGUGCUCGAGUGGCGAACGGGUGAGUAACACGUGAGUAACCCGCCCUUGACUUUGGGAUAACUUCAGGAAACUGGGGCUAAUACCGGAUAGGAGCUCCUGCUGCAUGGUGGGGGUUGGAAAGUUUCGGCGGUUGGGGAUGGACUCGCGGCUUAUCAGCUUGUUGGUGGGGUAGUGGCUUACCAAGGCUUUGACGGGUAGCCGGCCUGAGAGGGUGACCGGCCACAUUGGGACUGAGAUACGGCCCAGACUCCUACGGGAGGCAGCAGUGGGGAAUAUUGCACAAUGGGCGGAAGCCUGAUGCAGCAACGCCGCGUGCGGGAUGACGGCCUUCGGGUUGUAAACCGCUUUCGCCUGUGACGAAGCGUGAGUGACGGUAAUGGGUAAAGAAGCACCGGCUAACUACGUGCCAGCAGCCGCGGUGAUACGUAGGGUGCGAGCGUUGUCCGGAUUUAUUGGGCGUAAAGGGCUCGUAGGUGGUUGAUCGCGUCGGAAGUGUAAUCUUGGGGCUUAACCCUGAGCGUGCUUUCGAUACGGGUUGACUUGAGGAAGGUAGGGGAGAAUGGAAUUCCUGGUGGAGCGGUGGAAUGCGCAGAUAUCAGGAGGAACACCAGUGGCGAAGGCGGUUCUCUGGGCCUUUCCUGACGCUGAGGAGCGAAAGCGUGGGGAGCGAACAGGCUUAGAUACCCUGGUAGUCCACGCUGUAAACGGUGGGUACUAGGUGUGGGGUCCAUUCCACGGGUUCCGUGCCGUAGCUAACGCUUUAAGUACCCCGCCUGGGAAGUACGGCCGCAAGGCUAAAACUCAAAGGAAUUGACGGGGCCCCGCACAAGCGGCGGAGCAUGCGGAUUAAUUCGAUGCAACGCGUAGAACCUUACCUGGGUUUGACAUGGAUCGGGAGUGCUCAGAGAUGGGUGUGCCUCUUUUGGGGUCGGUUCACAGGUGGUGCAUGGCUGUCGUCAGCUCGUGUCGUGAGAUGUUGGGUUAAGUCCCGCAACGAGCGCAACCCUUGUUCACUGUUGCCAGCACGUUAUGGUGGGGACUCAGUGGAGACCGCCGGGGUCAACUCGGAGGAAGGUGGGGAUGACGUCAAGUCAUCAUGCCCCUUAUGUCCAGGGCUUCACGCAUGCUACAAUGGCUGGUACAGAGAGUGGCGAGCCUGUGAGGGUGAGCGAAUCUCGGAAAGCCGGUCUCAGUUCGGAUUGGGGUCUGCAACUCGACCUCAUGAAGUCGGAGUCGCUAGUAAUCGCAGAUCAGCAACGCUGCGGUGAAUACGUUCCCGGGGCU